CUAGAAGUGAAGCGUCAACCGCCGCUUCCUCUCUAUUGUUUCAGAAUGCAACUAGAGUGUAGAUCUGUGGAGCUUUCAAUUUAUGCACUCUUAUUUUUCGUCUGAGAAAGAGCUACAAGCACUUAAGCAUCUUCUAUCCAUUAAGGUAUGAAGGUGCACAAUCUGCAGAAGCCUUGCUAAGUUUGUGAACAGUGAAGAAGGUUAUGAUAGCACUGAAGGCUACAAUUAAGAGAA